rnacentral:lncRNA from 1 species
CGCAAUAACUCUAAACAGAAUAUAUCCGCAAGCACAUAGAUGUUGGGUAUUCUUAACAUCAUUACCAAAAGUAGACUUAGUUUUCUAAUUCUGAUAACGGUGCCAAAAAUGCCAAACCUAUCCCUCAUACCACUUAAGCCAAGUUGUCAUCCCCAGUGUUGAUAUUUGGUAACGCAAUAAGGAAAUGAUCCGCAAGCGCACGGAUAUCGGUGAGCAUUUCACCCGGGAGGUUUUCUAGAGUAUCGUAUUUAUAUUUUUACCACUGGGAGAAAGGGUGCAUCUGACUAACCAAAUCUAUUGCUACUAUCCCUUUAGGCUACAAAGAAUGUUUCUCGAUGUGAGCGAUGUAUAGAGAAGAUUGCAACCGUAGUCUCAUUCUAACCUUGGAAAGGAUGAUCUACUGUUCUAUUGGGGAAGCUUACGGAAUCUAGACACCACAAAGGAUGUUCGACCCGCACCUAUAAACCUACCCGUCCUGCUAACGAGAUAUGGUCUGCAAAGGUAACUCGGAAAUGUCACGUUCCUUGCUACUACCACGGUCCAGCUAGUCAGG